UUGAACGCUGGCGGCACGCUUAACACAUGCAAGUCGAACGGCAGCACGUAAUGGUGGCGAGUGGCGGACGGGUGAGUAAUGCGUAGGAAUCUGCCCUAUAGAGUGGGAUAACUCGUGGAAACGCGAGCUAAUACCGCAUGAGGUCUACGGACGAAAGGUGGCUUUUCGGAGCUGUCGCUAUAGGAUGAGCCUACGUCAGAUUAGCUAGUUGGUGGGGUAAAGGCCUACCAAGGCGAAGAUCUGUAGCUGUUCUGAGAGGAUGGACAGCCACACUGGGACUGAGACACGGCCCAGACUCCUACGGGAGGCAGCAGUGGGGAAUAUUGGACAAUGGGGGCAACCCUGAUCCAGCGAUGCCGCGUGUGUGAAGAAGGCCUGCGGGUUGUAAAGCACUUUAGCUAGGGAGGAAGAGGUCAUGUUGAAUAUUCAUGGCUGAUGACGUUACCUAGAGAAUAAGCACCGGCAAACUCUGU
rnacentral:rRNA from 1 species